rnacentral:lncRNA from 1 species
ACGCCUACAGUGCGCUCCCCCUCACUCCUUUUCCUCGGAGUGCCCGGCCCCGGCCCCCUUCUGCCCCUUUCCCCGGCAGGGUGAUACUUUGUCAAGCCGUAAUCCAACCCUGCUAAACCCGCGGGUAGAGCUGAAGCGCUGCGAUGAAUCUCAGCAGACUCAUUCCUCUCCUCGAGAGCUUGCUGCCCUUAGAAAUGACUUCAGCGCACUUUUGCAAGUGUAAAGGGAAAUCAAGAUCCCCUCUUCAUGUCUCUUGAUCUUCACCAGACUAGAAGAACCUGUAGUUCUUAGAGCUGCAGUGGAAAGUGACCUGUUGUGUUUGUGGAAGCUCUGGAAUCCUGCAGGAGAAGGAUCACUCAGCACCGUGGCAAUCUGCCAAGUACAACUUGUUCUGAAACACAGUGGCUCUGAGAAGUUGCAUUAUCAACUGAAACACAAUGUCAGCUUAGCAGGAGUGCUUGGGGUUUUUUUGAAGCCGUAUUUCUUAUACAUGGAGAAAACAUCAGCAAAGUCAUGUACUGCCGCAUCUGGGUUAGUAGAUGAUGUUCUGACACCAYUGAAGUAAGGGGUGUUCUGCAUCCACUGAGACAAAGAUGCUGCCUGGUAUAUUCAGUGGAAACCAUUAUAGGAAGUAAGUAAUCCCUUAG